AGAUCACAUAGAUGAUCAGAAAUACUCUUGUUAUGCUUACAGCUGACUGAAGAAAUGAAGAGAUUACCUCUGCAGUUAGUUCUCGCCAUAGUAGUAGACAUUUGGUGGAUCCUAAGGAACAAACUGGUUUCAAAGUCAACUGAUCUUUUGAGUCUCAGUCACGGCCAAUGAGAAUUGGGAGGAAACAAAACCACGCAAAGAAGAGAUAUCCCUUUCUGACAAAAGAGCCUCUCACAACAAACAGAUCCUGUUUCGGAGCAGGAUUUUCAUUUUCCUGUAUCGAACAAUAUAACACUGAUCUGAACCCUUCUGCCAAAUGGUCCAGCUUGCUCCCUCCAGCUUUUUGA
rnacentral:lncRNA from 1 species